UUGUUUACCUGACAGGGGACAUACCAUGAUCAAGAUGGUGUUUUUUCCCAGGUUAAGACUUAUCCAUUUUACACUGCUGUGUAGACCUCUAUGAUUCCCGAAAUGUGGGAAACACAACUGUGUGAUUCAUGGUAGUGCAAAUCUACAUUCUCACUUUCCC
rnacentral:snRNA from 1 species